rnacentral:tRNA from 1 species
GGACAGGUGGCCGAGUGGUUGAAGGCAGCGGUCUUGAAAACCGCCGAGGGGGCAACUCCUCCGUGGGUUCGAAUCCCACCCUGUCCGCCA